rnacentral:tRNA from 5 species
GCGGACGUGGCGGAACUGGUAGACGCAAGGGACUUAAAAUCCCUCAGCCUCGGCUAUGCGGGUUCGAUCCCCGCCGUCCGCACCA